rnacentral:rRNA from 1 species
GAUGAACGCUGGCGGCGUGCCUAAUACAUGCAAGUCGAGCGAACAGACGAGGAGCUUGCUCCUCUGACGUUAGCGGCGGACGGGUGAGUAACACGUGGAUAACCUACCUAUAAGACUGGGAUAACUUCGGGAAACCGGAGCUAAUACCGGAUAAUAUAUUGAACCGCAUGGUUCAAUAGUGAAAGACGGUUUUGCUGUCACUUAUAGAUGGAUCCGCGCCGCAUUAGCUAGUUGGUAAGGUAACGGCUUACCAAGGCAACGAUGCGUAGCCGACCUGAGAGGGUGAUCGGCCACCAUGGAACUGAGACACGGUCCAGACUCCUACGGGAGGCAGCAGUAGGGAAUCUUCCGCAAUGGGCGAAAGCCUGACGGAGCAACGCCGCGUGAGUGAUGAAGGUCUUCGGAUCGUAAAACUCUGUUAUUAGGGAAGGACAAAUGUGUAAGUAACUAUGCACGUCUUGACGGUACCUAAUCAGAAAGCCACGGCUAACUACGUG